GCAAAGGUGGCGGAAUUGGUAGACGCGCUAGCUUCAGGUGUUAGUGUCCUUACGGACGUGGGGGUUCAAGUCCCCCCCCUCGCACCA
rnacentral:tRNA from 2 species